GUGUCAGCAGCCGCGGUAAUACGUAGGUGACAAAUGUUAUCCGGAAUCACUGGGCGUAAAGGGUCUGUAGGCGGUAUUUUAGGUCUGAUGUGACACCUCACGGCUUAACUGUGAGUAUGCAUUGGAAACCGGAGUACUAGAAUCACGUCGAGGUCGGUGGAAUUCCCGGUGUAGUGGUGGAAUGCGUAGAGAUCGGGAGGAACCUCGAAAGCGAAGGCAGCCGGCUAGACGAUGAUUGACGCUGAGGGACGAUAGCGUGGGUAGCAAACAGGAUUAGAUACCCUGGUAGUCC
rnacentral:rRNA from 1 species